AAUAGCCUAACGGCUGAACCAGCAACUUGGAAGAAUGUAUAGCAAAUGCUAAUUUGUCAAAAAGUCUUGGCAAAAUAUCGAUUUACUCGAAUAAAGUUCUAGGUAGUAAUAUUGAUAAUGACAACUUCUAUCUAUGUGUCUUGACCAAAUUACGUGCCAGCAGUCGCGGUAAUACGUAUAAGACUAGUGUUAUUCAUCUUUAAUAGGUUUAAAGGGUACCUAGACGGUAGAUAAAGCCUUAAUAAAGAGGGACUGAUUUACUAGAGUUACUUAUGAGGGGGCUAAAAAGUACUGGUGGUGUAGAGAUGAAAUUCUUUAAUACCUUUUCUCGGAAGAGCUAGACACGGCACAGAUUAAGGCGUAAGCAUCUCCUUAUGUGAUAACUGACGUUGAGGGACGAAGGCUUCAUGAAACAAAAAGGAUUAGGUACCCUCGUAGUAGAUAGCAGAUAAUGAUGAGUGUCAUAGGAUAGAUAUAUUUUACCCUAUAAAUGAUAGUGUAAGCACUCCACCUCAAGAGUAAUUUGGCAACAUUGGAACUGAAAUCAUUAGACCGUUUCUGAAACCAGUAGUGAAGUAUGUUGUUUAAUUUGAUAAUCCGCAAAAAACCUUACCAAACCUAGUUCGAAGUUGGACGGGUGCACUAUUCAACUUGAAUAUUUAUAUACGUAUGUAUAUAUUUACAGGAGCUGCACGGCUGUCUUCAGCUAAUGUCGCGAGACUUUGGUUAGCUCCAUUAAAUUAGCGUA
rnacentral:rRNA from 1 species